CCCGUCACCAGUGCCCCCCAACAGCAGCAUGUCCUCAGCCUCGCUGAUAGCCAGAUAGAUGACAGACUCUUCAGUGAACUGAGCAAAAUUGUUAAAACGGGGUGCCCACAGCCAAAGACCUGCCUUUGUGAGAGAGGGGAGAGAGGUCAUCCUGGAAGCCCAGGGAACCCAGGUCAGUCAGGGUCUGAUGGCGCUCCAGGUCCAAAGGGAUCUC